AGCCGCCGCGGGAACACCGGCGGCCCGAGUGGUGAUCGUGAUUAUUGGGUCUAAAGGGUCCGUAGCCGGUUUGGUCAGUCCUCCGGGAAAUCUGAUAGCUCAACUAUUAGGCUUUCGGGGGAUACUGCCAGACUUGGAACCGGGAGAGGUAAGAGGUACUACAGGGGGUAGGAGUGGAAUCUUGUAAUCCCUGUGGGACCACCUGUGGCGAAGGCGUCUUACCAGAACGGGUUCGACGGUGAGGGACGAAGCUGGGGGCACGAACCGGAUUAGAUACCCGGGUAGUCCCAGCCGUAAACGAUGCUCGCUAGGUGUCAGGCAUGGCGCGACCGUGUCUGGUGCCGCAGGGAAGCCGUGAAGCGAGCCACCUGGGAAGUACGGCCGCAAGGCUGAAACUUAAAGGAAUUGGCGGGGGAGCACAACAACGGGUGGAGCCCUGCGGUUUAAUUGGACUCAACGCCGGACAACUCACCGGGGGCGACAGCAAUAUGUAGGCCAAGCUGAAGACUUUGCCUGAAUCGCUGAGAAGAGGUGCAUGG
rnacentral:rRNA from 1 species